rnacentral:rRNA from 1 species
AUUGAACGCUGGCGGCAUGCCUUACACAUGCAAGUCGAACGGCAGCACGGGUGCUUGCACCUGGUGGCGAGUGGCGAACGGGUGAGUAAUACAUCGGAACGUACCUUAUCGUGGGGGAUAACGCAGCGAAAGCUGUGCUAAUACCGCAUACGCCCUGAGGGGGAAAGCGGGGGAUCGCAAGACCUCGCGCGAUUAGAGCGGCCGAUGCCUGAUUAGCUUGUUGGUGGGGUAAAAGCCCACCAAGGCGACGAGCAGUAGCUGUCCUGAGAGGACGAUCAGGCGCACUGGGACUGGGACACGGCCCAGACUCCUACGGGAGGCAGCAGUGGGGAAUUUUUGACAAUGGGGGCAACCCUGAUCCAGCAAUGCCGCGUGAGUGAAGCAGGCCUUCGGGUUGUAAAGCUCUUUUGUCAGGGAAGAAACACCGGCUCUAACACAGUCCGGGAAUGACGGUACCUGAAGAAUAAGCACCGGCUAACUACGUGCCAGCAGCCGCGGUAA